CAGCCGCCACGGUAAAACGUAGGGUGCAAGCGUUAAUCGGAAUUACUGGGCGUAAAGCGUGCGCAGGCGGUUAUAUAAGACAGAUGUGAAAUCCCCGGGCUCAACCUGGGAACUGCAUUUGUGACUGUAUAGCUAGAGUACGGCAGAGGGGGAUGGAAUUCCGCGUGUAGCAGUGAAAUGCGUAGAUAUGCGGAGGAACACCGAUGGCGAAGGCAAUCCCCUGGGCCUGUACUGACGCUCAUGCACGAAAGCGUGGGGAGCAAACAGGAUUAGAUACCCCAGUAGUCCCUGUCUCUUAUAC
rnacentral:rRNA from 1 species